UACAGGGGGGGCAAGCGUUGUUCGGAAUUACUGGGCGUAAAGGGCGCGUAGGCGGCCUACUAAGUCGGACGUGAAAUCCCCGGGCUCAACCCGGGAACUGCGUCCGAUACUGGAAGGCUUGAAUCCGGGAGAGGGAUGCGGAAUUCCAGGUGUAGCGGUGAAAUGCGUAGAUAUCUGGAGGAACACCGGUGGCGAAGGCGGCAUCCUGGACCGGUAUUGACGCUGAGGCGCGAAAGCCAGGGGAGCAAACGGG
rnacentral:rRNA from 1 species